GCCUAAUGAUUUAUAAGGCAAAGUUGGUUUGUUCCAAUGAGUUUGAAAAUGUUUUUUAAACUAAACAAUUUGUAGAACUCCAGCUCUAGGUAUCAGAUGACUAUUUUCAAACCCUGUUCAUAGGUAUAAAUGAUGUAUUUAGUCCUUCUUCAGUUCCACUGGAGGAAGAGAAUAAAAAGUUGACAGAAUCAAUCACAGAUAAAUCUUCCAAGCCAUAUGAAGCUCCUGGUCUGUUUGAGGAAGAUGACAACUUUGAAUCCAGUAAAAGUAGUAGCAUUAUACCCAAAUCUUCUGUGGAUUUCUUUGAUGUUGAUGGGGAUCUAUUCAAGGAAAAGCCUGACACUGUCAACAUUGCAAAAAAUAGUCAACAUUCUUCUGCUGAGAAGUUUAAAAAUUUAACUCCAACACAUUUCACGAGUCAGAAAAACCUAUUCUCUGAUGAUGAGGAUUCUGAAGACUUGUUUUCUUCACGUCCACCUAUAGAAGCGAAGAAUU
rnacentral:lncRNA from 1 species